rnacentral:misc_RNA from 1 species
AGCAUGACUAGCCACUUGUGUUGGAGUUUUAGAGAUCACGAAAUUCCUCGAUAUGUUUCUCCAAUCUCCUUUACCAUAUUUCUCUAACCCCAUAAGAAAUCGCCUAUGUUCUUCCUCUGUCCAUGGUACGCCUUUCUUUCUUUCGUGAUCAUAAGACUUGCCUCUCUUAUUAAACGUUUGAAUGUUACGAUGAUCAACAAAUUCCAACGCAAAAGAAGACGUAUAACCACGCCUCGUAUUUGGGAGCAAUCCAGCCUCUAUGUUACUAACAUCUGCAACCAAUUCUUUAUACUGCAUUAUCACAUCAAGAACUGAUUUCCCAGGGAUAAUUUCUGCUACUUUAAACCAUCGAUUUGGUGUAGUCUCGUCGUAUAUUGCAAGUGCACUUUCAAAUCUCUUGUUCUCUUCUUUAGUCCAUUCUGUAUUACUCUUACUCUGUUGCAUAAUCCAAUUUGAAUUUGGUACAAAACAAGUUGGAUAUAAAGUUUCCAUAUCCAAAUCAAGAAUCCUCAAUUUUCUUCAAACUUCAAAAACUAAUAAUCUUCUCGGUAGAUAGGAACAUACUCUGGAUCAGAAUCGCGACGAGUACUUCUUGAUCAACUCUAUAAACCUACAAGCAGCAAGUAAAGAGAA